GAUGAACGCUGGCGGCGUGCCUAAUACAUGCAAGUCGAGCGCCCCUUUAUGAGCAGACAAGUUUAUUGUCUUUUCUUAUGGGGAGCGGCGGACGGCUGAGUAACGCGUAGGAACGUACCCCAAAGUGAGGGAUAAGCACCAGAAAUGGUGUCUAAUACCGCAUGUGGUCUUCGGAUUAAAGCUUCGGCGCUUUGGGAGCGGCCUGCGUAAGAUUAGCUUGUUGGUGAGGUAACGGCUCACCAAGGCGACGAUCUUUAGCUGGUCUGAGAGGAUGAUCAGCCAGACUGGGACUGAGAACGGCCCAGACUCCUACGGGAGGCAGCAGUGGGGAAUAUUGGACAAUGGGCGAAAGCCUGAUCCAGCCAUGCCGCGUGUGUGAAGAAGGUCUUCGGAUUGUAAAGCACUUUAAGUUGGGAGGAAGGUCUGUAAGCUAAUAUCUUGCAGUCUUGACGUUACCAACAGAAUAAGCACCGG
rnacentral:rRNA from 1 species